rnacentral:rRNA from 1 species
CAGCAGAGGGGUGUGGAGUUAAACAAUCAGAAGGAGCAGAAGGAAUAUGUUGAUGUGAAGAUUGUUGAGCUUGAGACUGUAGUGGGGAACUUGAAGGCACAACUGUCAAAGACAGAGGAGGAGAAGAAGAAGAUGCUGCAAAACUAUGAAACUCUGAAGAACCUGGCAGGUGCUCAAGCCAAUGUGAUUAGGAACUUGAAGUUCAAUCAUUUGAAGGAGAAGGAGAGGCUGACAGAAGAGAGGCUUAAACUGCAGCAUCACAUUUUUGAGCUUCAAAAGUCUGAGGAAAAGAUAAAGUUGAAGCUUCAGCGUGUGAAGGCCAUCUUAGAUGAGUAG